rnacentral:tRNA from 1 species
GGGCCGUUAGCUCAGUGGAUAGAGCACCUGCCUUCUAAGCAGGUUGCCGCGAGUUCGAGUCUCGCACGGCCCGCCG